AUGCUUUUUUGAACCUUCUAAUAUCUUCCCACCCUGUAAAAUCUUGCUUGAUGUUGGUUCCUAUGUUUUCCAGGUGGCAGUAAAAUUGACUCAAAAAGAAGGAGAGCUAAUUCAGGAGAAGUUUGAAGUGAAAAAGCAAGUCAACUUUCUCAAGCAGGCCUCUGAAGAUGCUAAAAAGUUGGUCAACCAAGAAAAAUCUUUUGCUUGUGCUGAAAUUGAGAGUGCAAGAUCAGUUGUGCAGAGGAUUGGAGAGGCCCUUGAGGAACAAGAAAGAAACCAAAACCCGGGGAUGCAGCAGCUACCUUUGGCUUAAUAACUUCUCUCCCUCCCCCCUGCUUUUGUCUGAGAGCAAUUGCAGAAUCUGUACCCUGUGUUAUGCUUUUGCUUUCAUGUCGUUUUCCCAUGCUUCGUGUCUUUCUUAUUCUACAUGAAUGAUUGACUAGAGUUUUCAUGCUGAUAGGAAUUGAAGGAAUUAAUUGGGGAGGUUCAAGAGGCCAGAAGAAUUAGGCUAAUGCAUCAGCCCAGGAAGGUCGUGGACAUGGAAAGUGAACUUCGACAACUGAGAUUACAGAUCAGAGACAAGUGGUUCUUACAUGCUAACGAUUCUAAGAGAAUCGACUUAGUGUUCACUCUUUUUCUAUAUCUAUAUCCUGACCAAAGAAGGGCAUAUCACAAAAAGAGGAGGGAUUAGCCACUUUCGGUGUACAAAGGUCUGGUAGGAUUAGAGAUUGAAUACCCAAAGAAUGAGAAUCUUGCACGGAAUAGGACCAACUUAAAGGGCAGGCCUUGUUAUUUAGUUCGGGUGUGGCUAUGCCGUGUUCUCAGUGUAUGCGCGAAGUGAAUCUUCUAUAUCGUCCACAGUUGGCGCGCAAUUCGUCGUUCAGGCCUCGUAGAUGCGGUUUCUGCUGCCUCCGACUGGCUUCCCAGGGGCCUCGUUUGAGGCAGUCACACCUUCUCCAGAACGUGCCACAGAAUGAGCUAUAUCCACCGACGUUACAAUAUUUCUCCAAUGAGUGUUGGCUGGUAUAACCAGUCGACUAUCCACAUCAAAUAGUUAGCUACUCAGUCCACGGAUUCGGCUUAGUUCAAAUAGCCCUAAAUAGAUCAAGGUGCAGAAGGCGAGCAGCAAUUACUUGUAUUAGUCCUAUUUACUUUGUUUGUUGGAAUUCUAGGAAUUCCUUUUAAUCAAGAAGGAAGGGAUUUAGAUAUAUUAUCUAAAUGGUUAACUCCGUCUAUUAACCUUUUACAUCAAAAGUCAGAGGAUUCGACAGAUUGGUAUGAUUUUUUUAAAAAUGCAAUAUUUUCAGUCAGUAUAGCUUCUUUUGGAAUA